UACGUAGGGUGCAAGCGUUAAUCGGAAUUACUGGGCGUAAAGCGUGCGCAGGCGGUUGUGCAAGACAGAUGUGAAAUCCCCGGGCUUAACCUGGGAACUGCAUUUGUGACUGCACGGCUAGAGUGUGUCAGAGGGGGGUAGAAUUCCACGUGUAGCAGUGAAAUGCGUAGAGAUGUGGAGGAAUACCGAUGGCGAAGGCAGCCCCCUGGGUCAAGAUUGACGCUCAUGCACGAAAGCGUGGGGAGCAAACAGG
rnacentral:rRNA from 1 species